rnacentral:lncRNA from 1 species
GUGUCCACAUCCACUGCCGCCAUAUUAGAUCUCCUGCGCACUAUGUCCUGUGCAUCAAUUCUGCACCCUGUGUGUCUCCGCCACCAAAAAUCUUGAAGCCUGCAUCCUUCAAGAUAUCCUCCUCGAUUUCGAUACUACACAGCCUCCAUAUAGAUCUUAGAAUCCUGCAUCUGCCUGUAAUCCAACUGCACGUCUGUCCCACAACCGUCUGUAUCUGGCUGUGCCCCUACCAUAACUCCAUAGCUGCCUGUCUCCCCAGCUGUGCCUAUGCUGCAGUCCACAACCGCCUAUCUCCAUGGUCAUGUCUGUACUGCAGCUCCACAACCAUC